rnacentral:tRNA from 2 species
GGCGGCGUGGCCGAGCGGUUAGGCAGGGGCCUGCAAAGCCCCGUACUCCGGUUCGAAUCCGGACGCCGCCUCCA